rnacentral:rRNA from 1 species
UUUGAUGGCGACCGGCGCACGGGUGAGUAACACGUAUCCAACCUGCCGAUGACUCGGGGAUAGCCUUUCGAAAGAAAGAUUAAUACCCGAUGGCAUAGUUCUUCCGCAUGGUGGAACUACUAAAGAAUUUCGGUCAUCGAUGGGGAUGCGUUCCAUUAGGUUGUUGGCGGGGUAACGGCCCACCAAGCCUUCGAUGGAUAGGGGUUCUGAGAGGAAGGUCCCCCACAUUGGAACUGAGACACGGUCCAAACUCCUACGGGAGGCAGCAUG